rnacentral:rRNA from 1 species
GACGAACCGAGCGAACGUUGUUCGGAAUCACUGGGCUUAAAGGGCGCGUAGGCGGGCUGUCAAGUCUGGGGUGAAAUCCCGCGGCUCAGCCGUGGAACUGCCUCAGAUACUGACGGUCUCGAGGGGGUAGGGGCGAGCGGAACUAAUGGUGGAGCGGUGAAAUGCGUUGAUAUCAUUAGGAACUCCGGUGGCGAAGGCGGCUCGCUGGACCUUUUCUGACGCUGAGGCGCGAAAGCUAGGGGAGCAAACGGGG